rnacentral:rRNA from 3 species
UGCCCUAGUAACGGCGAGUGAAGCGGCAACAGCUCAAAUUUGAAAUCUGGCUUUCGGGCCCGAGUUGUAAUUUGUAGAGGAUACUUUUGAUGCGGUGCCUUCCGAGUUCCCUGGAACGGGACGCCAUAGAGGGUGAGAGCCCCGUCUGGUUGGAUGCCAAAUCUCUGUAAAGUUCCUUCGACGAGUCGAGUAGUUUGGGAAUGCUGCUCUAAAUGGGAGGUAUAUGUCUUCUAAAGCUAAAUAUUGGCCAGAGACCGAUAGCGCACAAGUAGAGUGAUCGAAAGAUGAAAAGCACUUUGAAAAGAGAGUUAAAAAGUACGUGAAAUUGUUGAAAGGGAAGCGUUUAUGACCAGACUUGGACUUGGUUAAUCAUCUGGGGUUCUCCCCAGUGCACUUUUCCAGUUCAGGCCAGCAUCAGUUUUCGCCGGGGGAUAAAGGCUUCGGGAAUGUAGCUCUCUUCGGGGAGUGUUAUAGCCCGUUGUGUAAUACCCUGGUGGAGACUGAGGUUCGCGCUUCUGCAAGGAUGCUGGCGUAAUGGUCAUCAACGACCCGUCUUGAAACACGGACCAAGGAGUCGUCUUCGUAUGCGAGUGUUCGGGUGUCAAACCCCUACGCGUAAUGAAAGUGAACGCAGGUGAGAGCUUCGGCGCAUCAUCGACCGAUCCUGAUGUUCUCGGAUGGAUUUGAGUAAGAGCAUACGGGGCCGGACCCGAAAGAAGGUGAACUAUGCCUGUAUAGGGUGAAGCCAGAGGAAACUCUGGUGGAGGCUCGCAGCGGUUCUGACGUGCAAAUCGAUCGUCAAAUAUGGGCAUG